GAUGAACGCUCCCUGAGGGGCUAAUACAUGCAAGUCGAGCGAACGGACGAGAAGCUUGCUUCUCUGAUGUUAGCGGCGGACGGGUGAGUCACACGUGGAUAACCUACCUAUAAGACUGGGAUAACUUCGGGAAACCGGAGCUAAUACCGGAUAAUAUUUUGAACCGCAUGGUUCAAAAGUGAAAGACGGUCUUGCUGUCACUUAUAGAUGGAUCCGCGCUGCAUUAGCUAGUUGGUAAGGUAACGGCUUACCAAGGCAACGAUGCAUAGCCGACCUGAGAGGGUGAUCGGCCACACUGGAACUGAGACACGGUCCAGACUCCUACGGGAGGCAGCAGUAGGGAAUCUUCCGCAAUGGGCGAAAGCCUGACGGAGCAACGCCGCGUGAGUGAUGAAGGUCUUCGGAUCGUAAAACUCUGUUAUUAGGGAAGAACAUAUGUGUAAGUAACUGUGCACAUCUUGACGGUACCUAAUCAGAAAGCCACGGCUAACUACGUGCCAGCAGCCGCGGUAAUACGUAGGUGGCAAGCGUUAUCCGGAAUUAUUGGGCGUAAAGCGCGCGUAGGCGGUUUUUUAAGUCUGAUGUGAAAGCCCACGGCUCAACCGUGGAGGGUCAUUGGAAACUGGAAAACUUGAGUGCAGAAGAGGAAAGUGGAAUUCCAUGUGUAGCGGUGAAAUGCGCAGAGAUAUGGAGGAACACCAGUGGCGAAGGCGACUUUCUGGUCUGUAACUGACGCUGAUGUGCGAAAGCGUGGGGAUCAAACAGGAUUAGAUACCCUGGUAGUCCACGCCGUAAACGAUGAGUGCUAAGUGUUAGGGGGUUUCCGCCCCUUAGUGCUGCAGCUAACGCAUUAAGCACUCCGCCUGGGGAGUACGACCGCAGGGUUGAAACUCAAAGGAAUUGACGGGGACCCGCACAAGCGGUGGAGCAUGUGGUUUAAUUCGAAGCAACGCGAAGAACCUUACCAAAUCUUGACAUCCUUUGACAACUCUAGAGAUAGAGCCUUCCCCUUCGGGGGACAAAGUGACAGGUGGUGCAUGGUUGUCGUCAGCUCGUGUCGUGAGAUGUUGGGUUAAGUCCCGCAACGAGCGCAACCCUUAAGCUUAGUUGCCAUCAUUAAGUUGGGCACUCUAAGUUGACUGCCGGUGACAAACCGGAGGAAGGUGGGGAUGACGUCAAAUCAUCAUGCCCCUUAUGAUUUGGGCUACACACGUGCUACAAUGGACAAUACAAAGGGCAGCGAAACCGCGAGGUCAAGCAAAUCCCAUAAAGUUGUUCUCAGUUCGGAUUGUAGUCUGCAACUCGACUACAUGAAGCUGGAAUCGCUAGUAAUCGUAGAUCAGCAUGCUACGGUGAAUACGUUCCCGGGUCU
rnacentral:rRNA from 1 species